rnacentral:rRNA from 1 species
GGUUAAGCGACUAAGCGUACACGGUGGAUGCCCUGGCAGUCAGAGGCGAUGAAGGACGUGCUAAUCUGCGAAAAGCGUCGGUAAGGUGAUAUGAACCGUUAUAACCGGCGAUGUCCGAAUGGGGAAACCCAGUGUGUUUCGACACACUAUCAUUAACUGAAUCCAUAGGUUAAUGAGGCGAACCGGGGGAACUGAAACAUCUAAGUACCCCGAGGAAAAGAAAUCAACCGAGAUUCCCCCAGUAGCGGCGAGCGAACGGGGAGGAGCCCAGAGCCUGAAUCAGUGUGUGUGUUAGUGGAAGCGUCUGGAAAGGCGCGCGAUACAGGGUGACAGCCCCGUACACAAAAAUGCACAUGCUGUGAGCUCGAAGAGUAGGGCGGGACACGUGGUAUCCUGUCUGAAUAUGGGGGGACCAUCCUCCAAGGCUAAAUACUCCUGACUGACCGAUAGUGAACCAGUACCGUGAGGGAAAGGCGAAAAGAACCCCGGCGAGGGGAGUGAAAAAGAACCUGAAACCGUGUACGUACAAGCAGUGGGAGCCCUGAUUUAUCAGGGUGACUGCGUACCUUUUGUAUAAUGGGUCAGCGACUUAUAUUCUGUAGCAAGGUUAACCGAAUAGGGGAGCCGGAGGGAAACCGAGUCUUAACUGGGCGUUAAGUUGCAGGGUAUAGACCCGAAACCCGGUGAUCUAGCCAUGGGCAGGUUGAAGGUUGGGUAACACUAACUGGAGGACCGAACCGACUAAUGUUGAAAAAUUAGCGGAUGACUUGUGGCUGGGGGUGAAAGGCCAAUCAAACCGGGAGAUAGCUGGUUCUCCCCGAAAGCUAUUUAGGUAGCGCCUCGUGAAUUCAUCUCCGGGGGUAGAGCACUGUUUCGGCAAGGGGGUCAUCCCGACUUACCAACCCGAUGCAAACUGCGAAUACCGGAGAAUGUUAUCACGGGAGACACACGGCGGGUGCUAACGUCCGUCGUGAAGAGGGAAACAACCCAGACCGCCAGCUAAGGUCCCAAAGUCAUGGUUAAGUGGGAAACGAUGUGGGAAGGCCCAGACAGCCAGGAUGUUGGCUUAGAAGCAGCCAUCAUUUAAAGAAAGCGUAAUAGCUCACUGGUCGAGUCGGCCUGCGCGGAAGAUGUAACGGGGCUAAACCAUGCACCGAAGCUGCGGCAGCGACGCUGAUGCGUUGUUGGGUAGGGGAGCGUUCUGUAAGCCUGUGAAGGUGGCCUGUGAGGGUUGCUGGAGGUAUCAGAAGUGCGAAUGCUGACAUAAGUAACGAUAAAGCGGGUGAAAAGCCCGCUCGCCGGAAGACCAAGGGUUCCUGUCCAACGUUAAUCGGGGCAGGGUGAGUCGACCCCUAAGGCGAGGCCGAAAGGCGUAGUCGAUGGGAAACAGGUUAAUAUUCCUGUACUUGGUGUUACUGCGAAGGGGGGACGGAGAAGGCUAUGUUGGCCGGGCGACGGUUGUCCCGGUUUAAGCGUGUAGGCUGGUUUUCCAGGCAAAUCCGGAGAAUCAAGGCUGAGGCGUGAUGACGAGGCACUACGGUGCUGAAGCAACAAAUGCCCUGCUUCCAGGAAAAGCCUCUAAGCAUCAGGUAACAUCAAAUCGUACCCCAAACCGACACAGGUGGUCAGGUAGAGAAUACCAAGGCGCUUGAGAGAACUCGGGUGAAGGAACUAGGCAAAAUGGUGCCGUAACUUCGGGAGAAGGCACGCUGAUGGUAGGUGAAGCGACUUGCUCGUGGAGCUGAAAUCAGUCGAAGAUACCAGCUGGCUGCAACUGUUUAUUAAAAACACAGCACUGUGCAAACACGAAAGUGGACGUAUACGGUGUGACGCCUGCCCGGUGCCGGAAGGUUAAUUGAUGGGGUCAGCGCAAGCGAAGCUCUUGAUCGAAGCCCCGGUAAACGGCGGCCGUAACUAUAACGGUCCUAAGGUAGCGAAAUUCCUUGUCGGGUAAGUUCCGACCUGCACGAAUGGCGUAAUGAUGGCCAGGCUGUCUCCACCCGAGACUCAGUGAAAUUGAACUCGCUGUGAAGAUGCAGUGUACCCGCGGCAAGACGGAAAGACCCCGUGAACCUUUACUAUAGCUUGACACUGAACACUGGUCCUUGAUGUGUAGGAUAGGUGGGAGGCUUUGAAGUGUGGACGCCAGUCUGCAUGGAGCCGUCCUUGAAAUACCACCCUUUAAUGGCUGGUGUUCUAACGUAGGCCCCUUAUCGGGGUUGCGGACAGUGUCUGGUGGGUAGUUUGACUGGGGCGGUCUCCUCCUAAAGAGUAACGGAGGAGCACGAAGGUUGGCUAAUCCUGGUCGGACAUCAGGAGGUUAGUGCAAUGGCAUAAGCCAGCUUGACUGCGAGCGUGACGGCGCGAGCAGGUGCGAAAGCAGGUCAUAGUGAUCCGGUGGUUCUGAAUGGAAGGGCCAUCGCUCAACGGAUAAAAGGUACUCCGGGGAUAACAGGCUGAUACCGCCCAAGAGUUCAUAUCGACGGCGGUGUUUGGCACCUCGAUGUCGGCUCAUCACAUCCUGGGGCUGAAGUAGGUCCCAAGGGUAUGGCUGUUCGCCAUUUAAAGUGGUACGCGAGCUGGGUUUAGAACGUCGUGAGACAGUUCGGUCCCUAUCUGCCGUGGGCGCUGGAGAACUGAGGGGGGCUGCUCCUAGUACGAGAGGACCGGAGUGGACGCAUCACUGGUGUUCGGGUUGUCAUGCCAAUGGCACUGCCCGGUAGCUAAAUGCGGAAGAGAUAAGUGCUGAAAGCAUCUAAGCACGAAACUUGCCCCGA